UCCUAAGUUACCAUUUCAGAGGUUAUAUCUUCUAUCAGCACAUUUACACAGGUUUCAGGUGACGGUCCUCGACUGGGGAAUUAUCAUCUUUACUUCGUUGGGAAACUGGUCGUCCAAUGAGCUGACCUUCGUUGGGCUUUGACUCGAGUUUUGGAGGCCCACACGUUUUGAAAUAUGGUCCACUGACUUCGGAAAGGGUGUAGCUGUUAUGCAAAGAAAUAUCAGGUUCAUCCAUCUUAUAACUUAGGUUGUGUUCUUCAAAUUUAUCUAAAGGGAGCCAACAAUGUCUAGUAGAGAUGACCCUGUUUGAACGUUUGAUUGAUUGCUGUAUGUUGGGCACAGUUUAAUCUUAUUGAAUAUUUCGCUUUAAUAGGUAGCUUGUUCUACGGUGUGGCACCUAUCAACAACUUGAUAAAUAUCUGAGUACAUCAGUGUCUGCUAACUUGAAGAUAACCGGAAAUAGUGAUCCGUCAUCACGUUUACUGGUCCAGGGUCAGAAGGCCAACGUUAACUUCGUACAUUGCUUAAAUAGAGUACAGAACUUACAAUCCUCCGAAGUCUCGCGACGCUGGGAGCAUGCGCUGGAGUUCUAGAAAGAUCGAGGAACCUGUCAAACGUCGUAGUGUUUGCCAGACGCCCUCUAUUUUGUAUAUUUAACACCGACAAGAAAUGACGGCGGGGAUAAUUGCAGACAGAGAGAUACAGAGACAGAGUCAAGCCGUAACUAAAGUGCGUGAAUCGUUGUGAAUUCUAGCGUGUGUUUAAGUUAAAGUGAC